rnacentral:misc_RNA from 1 species
UACGGGGAGGCAGCAGUGGGGAAUUUUGGACAAUGGGGAAACCUGAUCCAGCCAUCCCGCGUGUGCGAUGAAGGCCUUCCGGGUUGUAAGCACUUUUAGCGGGAAAGAAACGGCGCAGGAUAUUACCGUGCAACUGACGGCUUACCUGCAGAAUAGCACACCAGCUAACUACGUGCCAGCAGCCGCGGUAAUACGUAAGUGCAAGCGUUAAGUCGAAUUACUGGGCGUAAAGCGUGCGCAGGCGGUUCGGAAAGAAAGAUGUGAAAUCCCAGAGCUUAACUUUUUGGAACUGCAUUUUUAACUACCGAGCUAGAGUGUGUGUCAGAGGAGGUGGAAUUCCGCGUGGCAGUGAAAUGCGUAGAUAUGCCGGAGGAACACCGAUGGCGAAGGUAGCCUCUGGGAUAACACUUUGACGCUCAUGCACGAAAGCGUGGGAGCAAACGGGAUUAUAGAUACCCUGGUAG